AACGAACGCUGGCGGCAUGCCUAACACAUGCAAGUCGAACGAGACCUUCGGGUUUAGUGGCGCACGGGUGCGUAACGCGUGGGAACCUGCCCUUAGGUUCGGAAUAACUCCCCGAAAGGGGUGCUAAUACCGGAUAAUGUCUUCGGACCAAAGAUUUAUCGCCUUUGGAUGGGCCCGCGUUGGAUUAGCUAGUUGGUAGGGUAAAAGCCUACCAAGGCGACGAUCCAUAGCUGGUCUGAGAGGAUGAUCAGCCACACUGGGACUGAGACACGGCCCAGACUCCUACGGGAGGCAGCAGUGAGGAAUAUUGGAGAAUGGGCGAAAGCCUGAUCCAGCAAUGCCGCGUGAGUGAUGAAGGCCUUAGGGUUGUAAAGCUCUUUUACCCGGGAUGAUAAUGACAGUACCGGGAGAAUAAGCUCCGGCUAACUCCGUG
rnacentral:rRNA from 1 species